GGCCGCCCGGGAGGCUGGGUUGGAGGAGUCUGGUGGCCUCUUCUCUUCACCUGUCCCUGCCUGCAG
rnacentral:miRNA from 1 species